rnacentral:rRNA from 2 species
CUGGCCUCAAAUCAGGUAGGGCUACCCGCUGAACUUAA